AGCCACACUGGGACUGAGACACUGCCCAGAGUCCUACGGGAGGCUGCAGUCGAGGAUCAUUCGCAAUGCGCAAAAGCGUGACGAUGCGGCGCUGCGUGGGGGAUGACGGCCUUCGGGUUGUAAACUCCUGUCAUUUGGGAACAAUAGGCUUGGUGAUAAUACUGCCAGGACUUGAUGGUACCAGAAGAGGAAGCCACGGCUAACUCUGUGCCAGCAGCCGCGGUAACACAGAGGUGGCGAGCGUUGUUCGGAUUUACUGGGCGUAAAGGGUGCGUAGGCGGUAUCGUGUGUCGGGUGUGAAAUCUCAUCGCUCAACGAUGAAAUCGCAUUCGAAACUGCGAUACUAGAGGGCAGGAGAGGAAAGCGGAAUUCUUGGUGUAGCGGUGGAAUGCGUUGAUAUCAAGAAGAACACCUGUGGCGAAGGCGGCUUUCUGGAAUGCUACUGACGCUGAGGCACGAAAGUUGGGGUAGCAAACAGGAUUAGAUACCCUGGUAGUCCCAACCGUAAACGGUGUACACUUGGUGUAGGGGGAUUUGACCCCCUCUGUGCCGGAGCUAACGCGUUAAGUGUACCGCCUGGGGAGUACGGCCGCAAGGCUAAAACUCAAAGAAAUUGACGGGGGCCCGCACAAGCGGAGGAGCAUGUGGCUCAAUUCGAUGCAACGCGAAGAACCUUACCAGGGCUUGACAUGCAGCUGCUACUCCCCUGAAAGGGGGAUUCCUUCGAGGGUGCUGCACAGGUGUUGCAUGGCUGUCGUCAGUUCGUGCCGUGAGGUGUUGGGUUAAGUCCCGCAACGAACGCAACCCCUAUGGUUAGUUGCCACCACAGAUGUUAAGUCUGUGAGCACUCUAAUCAGACUGCCCGUGCAAGCGGGAGGAAGGUGGGGACGACGUCAAGUCAGUAUGGCCCUUAUGCCCUGGGCUGCACACGUGCUACAAUGGCUGGCACAAUGGGACGCAAGACCGCGAGGUGGAGCCAAUCCCCAAAGCCAGCCCCAGUUCGGACUGGAGUCUGCAAUUCGACUCCAUGAAGUUGGAUUCGCUAGUAAUGGCGCAUCAGCUACGGCGCCGUGAAUACGUUCCCGGGCCUUGUACUCACCGCCCGUCACAUCAUGAAAGCCUUCUGCACCCGAAGUCGCUGAUCCAACUCGCUUUUAGUGAGAGGAAGGCGCCGAAGGUGUGGGGGGUGAUUGGGAUGAAGUCGAAACAAGGUA
rnacentral:rRNA from 1 species